AAGCGAAUGUAAAGACUGACUAAGCAUGUAGUACCGAGGAUGUAGGAAUUUCGGACGCGGGUUCAACUCCCGCCAGCUCCACCA
rnacentral:tmRNA from 1 species